rnacentral:rRNA from 1 species
UGGGGAAUAUUGCACAAUGGGGGAAACCCGUGAUCCAGCCAUCCCGCGUGUGCGAUGAAGGCCUUCGGGUUGUAAAGCACUUUUGGCAGGAAAGAAACGUCGCGGGUUAAUACCCCGCGAAACUGACGGUACCUGCAGAAUAAGCACCGGCUAACUACGCGCCAGCAGCCGCGGUAAUACGUAGGGUGCAAGCGUUAAUCGGAAUUACUGGGCGUAAAGCGUGCGCAGGCGGUUCGGAAAGAAAGAUGUGAAAUCCCAGAGCUUAACUUUGGAACUGCAUUUUUAACUACCGGGCUAGAGUGUGUCAGAGGGAGGUGGAAUUCCGCGUGUAGCAGUGAAAUGCGUAGAUAUGCGGAGGAACACCGAUGGCGAAGGCAGCCUCCUGGGAUAACACUGACGCUCAUGCACGAAAGCGUGGGGAGCAAACAGGAUUAGAUACCCUGGUAGUCCACGCCCUAAACGAUGUCAACUAGCUGUUGGGGCCUUCGGGCCUUGGUAGCGCAGCUAACGCGUGAAGUUGACCGCCUGGGGAGUACGGUCGCAAGAUU